AUCAUGCAGUGCCUACUUCAAAUAAACAAUUCAUACUUUUCCGCUGGCACUUGAAAAACAAUCCCUUGGUCAUAAAGUUAUAUUAAAAAACACCAAUAAUACGUAAAUCUUGUCUAACCUUAUUAGAACCAAAACAGUUGUGUUAUUAUUGCUCCAGGCAAACUUGUAUGUCAUGUCUCGGAAAUGAAUAAUACUGUCAACAACUCUCAACAAUAACUUUCUUUCAAGGAGGGAAUUCCUGAUUAUAAAAGGUCAGCGCCUCAGGUUCAGCAUGUAAUGUGAGAUACCAUUUUGCAAUUGAUUUAUAAGGAAAAUGAAAACUUCAUUUGGGGUUUCCCAUCCGGGAGAGGAAAUGAAUCUUUUAUUAUGGUAAACCUAUUAACUUCUAUGCAGGAUGAAGCACUGUAUGGUUUAAGGCCAGCCAAAUUUGUGUGUACAUGUGGAACUGAUGUAGCAGGUUCAAAAGUCAUUUUGGAAAAUGAAAUCAUCCUGACCAUGUUCCAAAAUUAAUAUAUGGAUAUAAAAUUUGAAAUUUUUUUUUUCUAUUUUUGUCUCCCUCAAAUGAAGAUUUAAGAGUUCAAGAUUGUGCCUUUGGUGACUUGAAGUUUGAACCCCUCAAGCAAAUGUAAAACAAAAUUUAAAUAUAUAAACAUUAAUAUGAUGUAAUAUGAUCAUGAUAUAUAUAUAACUGUUUUGUGAACCUCUGAAGGAUUUUAUUUGAUAUUUGAUUUUCUAAUUCUUGGGGGCAAAAACGUGACUUAAAAACAUACCUUCUCCAUUAUAGAGAAAAAACAAAUAUAUAUGUAAGCCUAUUCAUACAAGAAAGAAUGAACAAUACCUCCUAAUCUGUAACUACUGGCAGUUCUAAUACAUAAAUAAUACACAAGUUUUAAAAUUUGUAAUAUAUUGGACAUUGUUCUUUUCUAGGACAAUGUAAUUUUACAUUUAAUAUGAAAAUAAGAAGAUGUGGUAUGAUUAGCAAUGCGACCUGAACUUCCUCAAUAACUAUGAUUGCCAAUGAGGCCUGAACUUCCUCAAUAAUUUUGAUUGUUGGAUGACCUGGAAUUAUCCACUGAUUUAAUUUAUCAGCAUUUUAUCUCAAAGGUGUAUACAGUCAAACCUGCUGUAGGUCACCUCUAUUCAGCAAAAACCUGUCUCCUUUGGUCAUCCUCUUCUUUUCCCACUGUCAUGACUGUAGUACUAAUACCUAUAUAUUUUGAACUUAAACUCAAAGGUCCACUCUCUCAUACGGUCAGUUUUCUCUUGUCCUUAUAGUGACCUUUAUAAACAGGUGUUAUCAUGAUCAGGGUUUGAAUUUAACUAUUUUAACAAGGUUGUCCAAGGGACUAAAACAGCUCAAAAUUGACUCAUCCUACAAAAAGGUUUGCAGUCCUGAAUUUAGAAAUUUAUCAGCUUCAUGGUUAUAUCUGGAAGGUCAACAGUACUAGCUUGAAGCAAUUUUUUGUUAAUCCAAAAUUUAAAUGCACAAGACUAACAGAUUAUUGCCAGAAUCAAUUUGAAACCUAAAUUAAUCAACUGAUAGGUAGCUUUCUUUCAUGGUUUAAUCAAAUAAAAUUUAUAUGUAACCUUAAAUACUCUUAUCGUAAAAAUUAUUAUUAGUCAGCGAUACAUAUUGCAUACUGCAUUAUUUUCUAUAUUUAACCCCUUGACACCCUUGUCAGGUGGUAGUGUAGGGGGUAUGAUAAAUCCUGACAAUUGAAAAACAAAUAAUAAAAAAAAAAAAAAAGCUUUCUUUCAUGGUUCAGGUCUAGAUCUGUUAACUAUUUCCCCCAUGAAGAGGUAUUUCUUGUAUCACAGAGAACAGAGUGUGAUAUGAUUAAGUGAAACUAUAAAUGCAUUAAUUUGGUUGACCUAUCCAACAAUGUAUUACUUGGUACCUACUUCUUCUCAGGGGUUAUAAAGAUUUCUAAUUUUUUCAAUAUUAUGCAAAUGAAACACUCACAUCUUUUAGCCUAAAACUAUUCUGUUCAUCAAAAUUUGAUUACAUUCUAUAGCGUACAUGGAGGACAAAUAACAGAGCAAAAAAUUGUUAUUCAAUUUCUCACUCGUAUUGAAAGCUACAUGUACUAGUUUUUGGGGUUAGAAAUAUAGUUAUUUGAAACAUCUCGCAGCAUUCUCGCUGUAUGUAUUUUUUUUAUUUAAAUAUAAAAUUUCAAUUUUUACAUG